GACGUAGGGCGCAAGCGUUGUCCGGAUUUAUUGGGCGUAAAGAGCUCGUAGGCGGCUUGUUGCGUCGACUGUGAAAAACCACGUCUCAACCGUGGGACUGCAGUCGAUACGGGCAGGCUAGAGUUCGGUAGGGGAGACUGGAAUUCCUGGUGUAGGGGUGAAAUGCGCAGAUAUCAGGAGGAACACCGGUGGCGAAGGCGGGUCUCUGGGCCGAUAUCGACGCUGAGGAGCGAAAGCGUGGGGAGCGAACAGG
rnacentral:rRNA from 1 species